UCUUCCGUAGUAUAGUGGUCAGUAUGUGAGCUUGUCACCUUUCAGCGACUCCGCUCGAGACCCGGGUUCAAUUCCCGGCGGGAGAG
rnacentral:tRNA from 1 species